UAGGGAAUCUUCGGCAAUGGGGGGAACCCUGACCGAGCAACGCCGCGUGAGUGAAGAAGGUUUUCGGAUCGUAAAGCUCUGUUGUUAAGGAAGAACGAGUGUGAGAAUGGAAAGUUCAUACUGUGACGGUACUUAACCAGAAAGGGACGGCUAACUACGUGCCAGCAGCCGCGGUAAUACGUAGGUCCCGAGCGUUGUCCGGAUUUAUUGGGCGUAAAGCGAGCGCAGGCGGUUAGAUAAGUCUGAAGUUAAAGGCAGUGGCUCAACCAUUGUAGGCUUUGGAAACUGUUUAACUUGAGUGCAGAAGGGGAGAGUGGAAUUCCAUGUGUAGCGGUGAAAUGCGUAGAUAUAUGGAGGAACACCGGUGGCGAAAGCGGCUCUCUGGUCUGUAACUGACGCUGAGGCUCGAAAGCGUGGGGAGCGAACAGGAUUAGAUACCCUGGUAGUCCACGCCGUAAACGAUGAGUGCUAGGUGUUAGGUCCUUUCCGGGGCUUAGUGCCGCAGCUAACGCAUUAAGCACUCCGCCUGGGGAGUACGACCGCAAGGUUG
rnacentral:rRNA from 1 species